ACAUGGCAGUUUGGGAUUUUUUUUUCUUUAAGAUUUUAUAAAGCUGAGUGUAAAAUGGGAAUGUUUUCAUAAACGCUUAAGCAUCUUUAGUGAAGCUAAUUUAUAGAAUUGAAAUGUUCCUCUCCGGCAGUUUUAAACUCAAAUUCCUCCGCGGUGGUGGGGGGUUGGGGCCAAGAAACAGGAAACUGCUCUGUUUCAUUGUUCCCACUCAACAAUAAAAAAUUAAACCGCCUAAAAAGUGCAAGCUAGAGAGAAUUUUUUCAGACAUUCUCUCCUCUGAAUUGGAGUGAUGGUGAUAAAGACACAAAUGGGCUCCUUCUCCCUCCCCGGGUCUCCCCGCCCUCCCCCUAGCAGGGGGCCCGGCAGCCACACCUUGAAUCUGUGGGGUGACUCAGCCCCUAUGGCACAGUGCUAAGUACAACACCCAGCACCUUACUCAAGUCACCUUUGCCAGCGGCGUGCCUCCCGGUCCCUCCCUUGGGAGCGCGUCUUGGCAAUGGCGUGACUGGAUGGCGAAGAACCUGAAUUGUGCAACCUUGCGAUGUUGUGUAACCACCACCGCUGCACUUUUUUCACAGUCGGCUGGAGAGUGUACCGCACAGCCAGAGUCUGCAGCGAGGUUCCCGUGAAGAAAAAGUACGGUCAGCAGCUUCCUGAUUGUGAUUUACCAAGAAGCGGCACAGUCUCUGCAGGAAAUAUGUCAGCUGCCCCAUUGUCCUCUUAUUUAAAGUAGGACAGACACCAAGCUUGAGAAUACUUGAAUAGGAGGACUCAGAAGCAGAAAAUGAGAGCAACCAAGUCAGUCUCAAUCAUGACUCACAAGCUCCAACUUCACUUAUGGAGUCAUCCAGUGAAAUCAAACUGAUAGUGAGUACAGGGAGCAGCAGUGAUCAGAGGAAGCCAAAAGAGCUCUGAUGAGAGGAACCAUGUCAUUUUCUCAGCCUUUAUUGUUGGUGUCUCCCUGAAGACCAUUUACUUGGAACUUAGACAGGAGACUAAAGUCUGUGAUCUCUGGGUUUGCUUAACUCUGUAGACAGCUGGUAUAUCACAUACAAAAUAUUACCCCACACUCUCAUAGUGUGAUGAGUUGUUAAUAAAACCAUUCCAAAUUU